AGUGAACGCUGGCGGUAGGCCUAACACAUGCAAGUCGAACGGCAGCACAGUAAGAGCUUGCUCUUACGGGUGGCGAGUGGCGGACGGGUGAGGAAUACAUCGGAAUCUACUUUUUCGUGGGGGAUAACGUAGGGAAACUUACGCUAAUACCGCAUACGACCUACGGGUGAAAGCAGGGGAUCUUCGGACCUUGCGCGAUUGAAUGAGCCGAUGUCGGAUUAGCUAGUUGGCGGGGUAAAGGCACACCAAGGCGACGAUCCGUAGCUGGUCUGAGAGGAUGAUCAGCCACACUGGAACUGAGACACGGUCCAGACUCCUACGGGAGGCAGCAGUGGGGAAUAUUGGACAAUGGGCGCAAGCCUGAUCCAGCCAUACCGCGUGAGUGAAGAAGGCCUUCGGGUUGUAAAGCCCUUUUGUUGGGAAAGAAAAGCAGCAGGUUAAUACCGCGCUGUUCUGACGGUACCCAAAGAAUAAGCACCGGCUAACUUCGUG
rnacentral:rRNA from 1 species